GACGAACGCUGGCGGCGUGCUUAACACAUGCAAGUCGAACGAUGAAGAAGAGAAGCGCGAACUUCGGUUCAAAUUUCACUUCGGAUUAGUGGCAGACGGGUGAGUAACGCGUGAGCAACCUACCUCUUACAAAGGGAUAGCCUCGGGAAACCGUGAUUAAUACCAUAUGACACAUUCAUAAGGCAUCUUAAGAAUGUUAAAGCUACGGCGGUAAGAGAUGGGCUCGCGUCCCAUUAGCUAGUUGGUGAGGUAACGGCCCACCAAGGCGACGAUGGGUAACCGGCCUGAGAGGGUGAACGGUCACAUUGGAACUGAGACACGGUCCAAACUCCUACGGGAGGCAGCAGUGGGGAAUAUUGCACAAUGGAGGGAACUCUGAUGCAGCGACGCCGCGUGAGCGAUGAAGGAAUUCGUUUCGUAAAGCUCUGUUCUAUGGGAAGAAAAGGACUGUACCAUAGGAGAAAGCCCCGGCUAAAUACGUG
rnacentral:rRNA from 1 species